GUUCAGAACCUUUCACCAUCUGCGUUGAAAAUAGGUUUACAACCAAGACCGUUCCCCAUACUAUAUUUAAAAUCAUUAUCACCGACUCCGUCGGCGUUAGGAUGUAAUUUCUUGUGCAAAGAAUCCAAACAAAGCGAUCUUCUCAAUGACUAUACUUCGACGAGCCUCAAGCGAUGUUAAGCUAGUUAGGUUUGUCUCUGCGAAAAUGAAUGCGGUUUUAUAUCUUGCUUGGAUGGCGAAACCUAACACCUUAUAACCGGAAAA